rnacentral:lncRNA from 1 species
UAGAGUUAUCGGUAAAUAAUUUUUACAGCGUAAAAGCAAAUUAAAUUCCUACAUACAAUAGUACAGAUAACUAAAGUAUGAAAUUUAAUUUAAUUUAAAGUGACAUGUGGACCUCCAAAUGACAAAAAUGAACGAAGGCUGUAAACCUACAGUUUUUGAGGAAGUAAAGCCAACCGUAGCCUUCGACGAUAUCAGCUAUCUAUAGCCUAUACUGAGCCUGAAAUGGGUGGAAAGGAGGGUGGUGAGAUUAUAAAAUCUCAGUGAGUAAACAAACAUCAUCAUAAACAUCUAGAGUUGAGUACAUGGAGAUGAUAAAGUAAAUCAUCAUAAACUGGGUCACAGCAUUAGAACACAUUUCAUUCAAAAUACGUAACGAGGCUUAUGAAUCUCAUAACAACUAGGCUUGUGCCAUAAAUCCAUCCUCGGGGACACCUUGGCCGAGGCAUCCUACCGAGAUCGUCAAGGCUGUUAAAAAUUCACAUUUCGCAUAAAAUACAUUUUUCGUUAGACAUCACAACCGUUCCUUGGCGUUGGCUGAGUUCACCAUCACGUGGUGGUUCGGCGUGAAGUGAACUCAAAUAUCACUUCAAGAGCUACCCUACGUGCCUCUACAACCGAGGUGAGCACAUAUAAAUGGGGUUACCGUACCCCUCUCAUAGGCUGGUCCACGGAACUCGCCUACUGCAGUAAGCUAAUAAUUAUCCCACCAAUCAAUAAAAUUCAAUGACAUGAUAUGGCAAUUAUUGUAAUUCACAGCCUUUCAAGGCAAACAAACAAUCUGUAUUUCAAUACAAUUGCCAAUCAGGCAAUCAUGCCCGAUUUAUCAUAAACCAAUCAAUUUAAACAAUCAAAUUGUAACAAAUAGCAGUCUCUGUGUACUCUAUUUUUCAAAAUCAUUAUUAAUUUCAAAACAAUUUAUAAAUUAAUUUCAUUGAAACACAUUUAUUCAUAAAACAUUAAAAUUUACCUUUUUAAAUCCAUUUUUCCAUAGAAUUCAUGAAAUCAUCAAAAGCCACCCUAGAUAAUUAAAAUGACAGUAAGUUUACUCACAAUGUCUAGAGUGCGGAUUUUCGAAGUACUCUGACUACUGGUCCUCAGAUGCAAUUUUCUUGCCUUUAUCGGAGGACUUUCCACCUUGACAUAGUACAAAUCGAGAAACUUACUACAUUGGUACUAAAUCAAAAUUAAACUAAUUUAGACUACUAAUGCAUGAUAUGGAAUGCAAAAUGCACGGGUAACCAUUUAAACCCAAUAUUGGCCUAAUUCAUCUUAUCAACCGAUUAAUUGGCCAACGCGUCCAAUUUAGCUCCAAAUUGCUCCAUUUCUUUUCCAAUACCUUAAUUCAGCAAACACAAGUCAAAUAACCUAAAAUUUGGCAAAACCAUCUUCACUUUUCUUCUUAGAAUUUUCGGUCAAUAAUGGUGCAUUAACACCGUGAUUUUUCCUACUAACUUUCCAAACCAUAAUUCAUCAUUUUCUAACCAAUUCUCUUGAAAUAAAAAAUCAAAUUCAUCCUCACUCAAUACAAGGUAGGUUCGGCCAUUGAUGGGUGAUGGGGAAAAUGAAUUCUUUUCUUGUUGUUUUGCUUCUAGACAUGGUAAACUAACUAAAAACACUAACAUAACUUGAAAUCAAAUCAAUCCAACAUCAUUCUCUCUCCAUACCCAUUCGGCUAGCCAUGAAUUCACCAUGAAAACAUGAAAUUUAACCAUGAAAAAUAAGGAGAAAUGCUUAAGGAAAAUAGAUUUCAAGUUUAAAUUGAGAAAUCUUACCUUUUUCACUUGUUUUUCUUAAUUUUUCACACUUUUUCUCUUGAAAUUCUCCACCUAGGGUUUGUUCUUUCUUUGUUUCCCUCUUUU